UUCAGUCUUGUGGAAGGAAACAGUCUGAGGUGUCUCUUCAGGUAUUGUGGAAGGAAACAGUCUGAGGUGUCUCUUCAGGUAUUGUGGAAGGAAACAGUCUGAGGUGUCUCUUCAGGUAUUGUGGAAGGAAACAGUCUGAGGUGUCUCUUCAGGUAUUGUGGAAGGAAACAGUCUGAGGUGUCUCUUCAGGUCUUGUGAAAGGCCCAGUGGAAAGGAAACAGUCUGAGGUGUCUCUUCAAGUCUUGUGGAAGGAAACAGUCUGAGGUGUCUCUUCAGGUCUUGUGGAAGGCCCAGUGGAAAGGAAACAGUCUGAGGUGUCUCUUCAGGUCUUGUGAAAGGCCCAGUGGAAAGGAAACAGUCUGAGGUGUCUCUUCAGGUCUUGUGGAAGGCCCAGUGGAAAGGAAACAGUCUGAGGUGUCUCUUCAGGUCUUGUGAAAGGCCCAGUGGAAAGGAAACAGUCUGAGGUGUCUCUUCAGGUCUUGUGAAAAGGCCCAGUGGAAAGGAAACAGUCUGAGGUGUCUCUUCAGGUCUUGUGGAAGGCCCAGUGGAAAGGAAACAGUCUGAGGUGUCUCUUCAGGUCUUGUGGAAGGCCCAGUGGAAAGGAAACAGUCUGAGGUGUCUCUUCAGGUCUUGUGAAAGGCCCAGUGGAAAGGAAACAGUCUGAGGUGUCUCUUCAGGUAUUGUGGAAGG